AGGGCCAUAUCACGUUGAAAAACCUGUUCCCGUAAGAUCUCCGAAGUUAAACAACGUCGAGUCUGAACAGUACUAGUUUGGGUGACCGGUUGGG